UACGAAGGGGGCUAGCGUUGCUCGGAAUCACUGGGCGUAAAGGGCGCGUAGGCGGCCGAUUAAGUCGGGGGUGAAAGCCUGUGGCUCAACCACAGAAUUGCCUUCGAUACUGGUUGGCUUGAGACCGGAAGAGGACAGCGGAACUGCGAGUGUAGAGGUGAAAUUCGUAGAUAUGGGGAGGAACACCGGUGGCGAAGGCGGCCACCUGGACGGUCACUGACGCUGAGGCGCGAAGGCCAGGGAGCAAACGGGAUUA
rnacentral:rRNA from 1 species